AAAAUCCGUCGACUUUAUAAGUCGUG
rnacentral:tRNA from 1 species